AAUGAACGCUGGCGGCAUGCCUUACACAUGCAAGUCGAACGGUAACGCGGGGCAACCUGGCGACGAGUGGCGAACGGGUGAGUAAAGCAUCGGAACGUGCCCAGUAGUGGGGGAUAGCCCGGCGAAAGCCGGAUUAAUACCGCAUACGACCUAAGGGUGAAAGGGGGGGAUCGCAAGACCUCUCGCUAUUGGAGCGGCCGAUGUCAGAUUAGCUAGUUGGUGGGGUAAAAGCUCACCAAGGCGACGAUCUGUAGCUGGUCUGAGAGGACGACCAGCCACACUGGGACGGAGACACGGCCCAGACUCCUACGGGAGGCAGCAGUGGGGAAUUUUGGACAAUGGACGAAAGUCUGAUCCAGCCAUGCCGCGUGCGGGAAGAAGGCCUUCGGGUUGUAAACCGCUUUUGUACGGAACGAAAAGACUCCUUCUAAUACAGGGGGUGCAUGACGGUACCGUAAGAAUAAGCACCGGCUAACUACGUGCCAGCCGCCGCCGUAA
rnacentral:rRNA from 1 species